AGAGUUUGAUCAUGGCUCAGAACGAACGCUGGCGGCAGGCUUAAGACAUGCAAGUCGAACGCCCCGCAAGGGGAGUGGCAGACGGGUGAGUAACACGUGGGAACGUGCCCCAAGGUUCGGAACAACGCCGGGAAACUGGCGCUAAUACCGGAUGUGACCGUAAGGUGAAAGAUUUAUCGCCUUGGGAUCGGCCCGCGCAAGAUUAGGUAGUUGGUGGGGUAAAGGCCUACCAAGCCUACGAUCUUUAGCUGGUCUGAGAGGAUGAUCAGCCACACUGGGACUGAGACACGGCCCAGACUCCUACGGGAGGCAGCAGUCGGGAAUCUUGGACAAUGGGCGCAAGCCUGAUCCAGCCAUGCCGCGUGAAUGAUGAAGGCCUUAGGGUUGUAAAAUUCUUUCGUGGGGGACGAUAAUGACGGUACCCCAAGAAGAAGCUCCGGCUAACUUCGUGCCAGCAGCCGCGGUAAUACGAAGGGGGCUAGCGUUGUUCGGAAUUACUGGGCGUAAAGCGCGUGUAGGCGGACCGUUAAGUCGGGGGUGAAAGCCCAGAGCUCAACUCUGGAAUUGCCUUCGAUACUGGCGGUCUGGACCCAAGUAGAGGCGAGUGGAAUUACGAGUGUAGAGGUGAAAUUCGUAGAUAUUCGUAGGAACACCAGUGGCGAAGGCGACUCGCUGGACUUGUGGUGACGCUGAGACGCGAAAGCGUGGGGAGCAAACAGGAUUAGAUACCCCAGUAGUCC
rnacentral:rRNA from 1 species